GAUGAACGCUGGCGGCGUGCCUAAUACAUGCAAGUCGAGCGAACGGACGAGAAGCUUGCUUCUCUGAUGUUAGCGGCGGACGGGUGAGUAACACGUGGAUAACCUACCUAUAAGACUGGGAUAACUUCGGGAAACCGUAGCUAAUACCGGAUAAUAUUUUGAACCGCAUGGUUCAAAAGUGAAAGACGGUCUUGCUGUCACUUAUAGAUGGAUCCGCGCUGCAUUAGCUAGUUGGUAAGGUAACGGCUUACCAAGGCAACGAUGCAUAGCCGACCUGAGAGGGGGAUCGGCCACACUGGAACUGAGACAGGGUCCAGACUCCUACGGGAGGCAGCAGUAGGGAAUCUGCCGCAGUGGGCGAAAGCCUGACGGAGCAACGCCGCGUGAGUGGUGAAGGUCUUCGGAUCGUAAAACUCUGUUAUUGGGGAAAAACAUAUGUGUAAGGAACUGUGCACAUCUUGACGGUACCUAAUCAGAAAGCCACGGCUAACUACGUG
rnacentral:rRNA from 1 species